rnacentral:rRNA from 1 species
UACGUGGGGGGCUAGCGUUGUCCGGAAUCAUUGGGCGUAAAGAGCGUGUAGGCGGCCCGGUAAGUCCGCUGUAAAAGUCAAAGGCUCAACCUUUGAAUGUCAGUGGAUACUGCCGGGCUAGAGUCCGGAAGAGGCGAGUGGAACUCCUGGUGUAGCGGUGGAAUGCGCAGAUAUCAGGAAGAACACCAACGGCGAAGGCAGCUCGCUGGGACGGUACUGACGCUGAGACGCGAAAGCGUGGGGAGCGAACAGG